AAGAUGCAAGGGAGACUUUAGAUGCGGUCCUUAGCUAUGAAUAUUCUUUGAUUGAAACCUUGUUAAUUUUUAAUUUUUGAUCGAGGUCCCUGAAAUUAAUGUGAUAAUUUAUUUAUAUGUACGUUACUAUAUUUUUUUAAUUAAAAAUUAGAAAUUUUAGUUGUUUAUAUAAAUGAGAUUUUAAAUAAAAAACCAUAAUUUGUGGGAUUAAAAAUAUUAAAAUAUAAAUAUACUAUUGUCUGUGUGUGUGUGUGUAUAUAUAUAUAUAUAUUUAUAAACAUGGGUACAUUCAUCAAAAUUAACCAAAAAAAUUAUUGUAUCAAAACAUGGGUACAUUCUUCAAAAUCCCCCCCAAAAAAAAGAUAUUAGGCUUAAUAACAUUAGUAAAUUUCUUCGAUUAA
rnacentral:lncRNA from 1 species